rnacentral:lncRNA from 1 species
AAUGCCAUUUACCGCAAUAUCGACAUUCCGUUCUGUCUCGACGUUCAUUCCCAACACUGGCGACCAAAGUGCCUCGUGUACCCACAGGGGGUCGAUCACGAUCUCGUCUAAAAAGGCCCGAAGUGCCUCUAGACCGGCCCACAUCAUCUCGAAAUUUCUUCGAUGCCUGUUGAAGAGACUUUCCCGAGGAUCUUUUACGAAACUCUUCAGUUCCC